GACGAACGCUGGCGGCGUGCUUAACACAUGCAAGUCGAACGGAAAGGCCCUGCUUUUGUGGGGUGCUCGAGUGGCGACCGGGUGAGUAACACGUGAGUAACCUGCCCUUGACUUUGGGAUAACUUCAGGAAACUGGGGCUAAUACCGGAUAGGAGCUCCUGCUGCAUGGUGGGGGUUGGAAAGUUUCGGCGGUUGGGGAUGGACUCGCGGCUUAUCAGCUUGUUGGUGGGGUAGUGGCUUACCAAGGCUUUGACGGGUAGCCGGCCUGAGAGGGUGACCGGCCACAUUGGGAUUGAGAUACGGCCCAGACUCCUACGGGAGGCAGCAGUGGGGAAGAUUGCACAAUGGGCGGAAGCCUGAUGCAGCAACGCCGCGUGCGGGAUGACGGCCUUCGGGUUGUAAACCGCUUUCGCCUGUGACGAAGCGUGAGUGACGGUAAUGGGUAAAGAAGCACCGGCUAACUACGUG
rnacentral:rRNA from 1 species